rnacentral:rRNA from 1 species
AUGUCAGGGAGCCGUCCUCUGGUCGUUGACAUGGAGGCUGCCCGCAAGGCCAUCAGUGGUUUCCUCGUGGUUGGACGCCUCCUCUCCCCCUUCCAGGCCAACCCAAGGGUCAUCCUCGACGAUCUCCGGAACACGGGUUGGAAGAACCAAGGGGCGACCACCUUCCAAGAGGUGGCCAGCGACGACGGGAGGUUCAUCCUCAACUUCGCCGCUGAGAGUGACCGUCGGUUUGUGCUUAAGGCGCAGCCAUGGCAUUUCAAGCGGGAUGGCCUCAUCUUCGCCGAGUUCGACGGCAAGGGCGACCCGACAGAGGUAGACCUUGGCGUCAUGACCAUAUGGGUCCAGGUACGAGAUCUUCCGUUCGUGCUUAAGACGGGGAGUAUAGGGUGGUCUCUCGAGGAUCAAUUGGGAGAGGUGCUGGAGGUAUCGCAUCGUAACCAUGUAAUCGUUGAAAAAUAUUUGUGUGUGCGCGUGAAGCUCUUAUUGCAUGAACCUCUGAAGACUUCUGUAGAGUUUACCCCUUUAGGUAGUUCAAAGAUACUUAAAUUUGAUGUAAAGUAUGAGAAGCUACCUUUGUACUGUGAGUUUUGUGGGAUCGUGGGUCAUACUUCUCAGAGAUUUUGUAAAAUCCCAGGUGAGAAAGGAGUAGCUUGCUUCCCUAGAAAUCUUAGUGUUGAGCCCUACUGGAAGAGCCAAGGUGCUAGUAGGAGGGGUCUCCUCUUCGGGAACUACUCUCGCGGCGACAAGAAUCCGACUACAAGCAUCGCCAACAACAACAACAAUAACGCCAAGCCCAUGGACAUCGUCAAGGUGGCCACUGCCGUGAGUGGUCUCACAGUCUCUGAUAAGGGAGCCGCUACUUCAGCCAAGACGACCGCCGGCCAGAAGGGCCGGGUUCAGGAGGUCCUGGCGCAUGCUCCGGCUAGUGCGUCACUUGGUCAGGUGGACCAGGUGGGCGCGCUGGCUGCUCCGGUCCAGGGCCACACGCCCCUGGAGGACUCGUCCUGGUGCAACGCAUGA